rnacentral:rRNA from 1 species
CCUACGGGAGGCAGCAGUGAGGAAUAUUGGUCAAUGGGAGAGAUCCUGAACCAGCCAAGCCGCGUGAAGGAUGACGGCCCUAUGGGUUUUAAACCUCUUUUGUAGGGGAACAAAACCCGGGACGUGUCGCGUAUUGCGUGUAUCUGACGAAAAAGCAUCGGCUAACUCCGUGCCAGCAGCCGCGGUAAUACGGAGGAUGCGAGCGUUAUCCGGAUUUAUUGGGUUUAAAGGGUGCGUAGGCGGUCCGUUAAGUCAGCGGUAAAAUUGCGGGGCUAAACCGUGGCGAGCCGUUGAAACUGGGAGACUUGAGUUGGCGAGAGGUACGUGGAAUGCGCGGUGUAGCGGUGAAAUGCAUAGAUAUCGCGAAGAACUCCGAUUGCGAAGGCAGCGUACCGGCGCCAGACUGACGCUGAGGCACGAAAGCGUGGGGAUCGAACAGGAUUAGAUACCCUUGUAGUC